UGCAAGUCGAGCGAGUCUGCCUUGAAGAUCGGAGUGCUUGCACUCUGUGAAACAAGAUACAGGCUAGCGGCGGACGGGUGAGUAACACGUGGGUAACCUGCCCAAGAGAUCGGGAUAACACCUGGAAACAGAUGCUAAUACCGGAUAACAACAGAUGAUGCCUAUCAACUGUUUAAAAGAUGGUUCUGCUAUCACUCUUGGAUGGACCUGCGGUGCAUUAGCUAGUUGGUAGGGUAACGGCCUACCAAGGCGAUGAUGCAUAGCCGAGUUGAGAGACUGAUCGGCCACAUUGGGACUGAGACACGGCCCAAACUCCUACGGGAGGCAGCAGUAGGGAAUCUUCCACAAUGGACGCAAGUCUGAUGGAGCAACGCCGCGUGAGUGAAGAAGGGUUUCGGCUCGUAAAGCUCUGUUGUUGGUGAAG
rnacentral:rRNA from 1 species